rnacentral:rRNA from 1 species
AUGGCGGGCGUCGUGGUUGAAGGCCCGAGGUGGGUGCAGCCAGAGCAGCGUCGAGUCAUGGUGCUGGACUCACCCGAGUCAACGUGGGCGCGUGGUGGCAAAGCAGCAGCUGCAAGGGCAGAGCGAGGUCGGCGCUGCGGCGCAGCUCAACGGUGGCAAGGCGGCAGGGGGAACCGCGCAGGAGGAAGGAGAGGCAUGCGGCUGCGGUACAAGAAGCAACUGAGGCGCGGCUUCGGGCCAUGGCGACAGCGAGGCGACGGCGAACUUGGAGGCGGGGCGGCGUCGGGCACGCAGGUGGCUGUGGCCGGACGGCAUCGCCAUGGGACCGGAGGAGGCGCGAGCGAGGAGACAAGGACAUCGCUCCUGCUCGGGGUCCUGGGCGCGCGAGGCUGCAUGGCCAUGGGGAUUGGGAUCCCCCCUUGGUCGCGCUGA